rnacentral:lncRNA from 1 species
UAUUGGGAGUAUUAUAUUUGUUCCUCUCUCUCUAUCUCUGUGUGCGUGCGUGCGCAUGCACAUCUGUCUAAGUAUGUCAAUUCCUCUAUAAAAUAUUUUCUAGCAUUAUGAGGAGGUUUAACUCAAUAUCUUUCAGUGAAAUGGAAGAUAUGAUUAUCAGUGCCCUUCAUUGGUGUGGCAACAGAUGGAUAAUCGAGCAUUGUGAUGACAGAUGGAUAAUUGAGUGGAGAGUUGCACCUGAAUGUUGGUUCCUUUCUACUAGGCAUCGGU